UGGCUUGGCGGGAAAUGGGCGGGGCCUCGCACUGCUCACCUGGGGGGGCGGGGCGUGGAGCGCACCUGCGUGACGUCACCGGCGGGGGGCGGGGCGAGGCGUGACGUCAGCAGCAUGGCGGCGCUCCUGGCGCUCCUCCUGCUGCUGCCCCCGACCGGACCUGCAGCCGCGUCCCCUGGCGGGGACCCCCUGGGGACCCCCGAGGUCCCCCCCGGCCCCACGGAGCCCCCCCAGGACCUGCGGGACGCCGCCUACCAAGCCCGCUGUGCGGCCCCCCCCGGCCCCCGGCCCGUGCCGUGCCUCCUUCCAGCGCUGGUUCCACAGCCCGGGGGGGGGCGGCUGCCGCCCCUUCACCUACAGGGGGUGCGGGGGCAACGCCAACAACUACGCCCGGCGCCAGGACUGCCUGAGGAGCUGCCAGCGCCCCGCCCCCGGCACUGAGCCCGCCGUGCAGCCCACCAUAGCCCUGGCCCUGCUGCUGCUGCCUCUGCUGCUGCUCCUGGGGGGGGUCGCCGCCGCCCUCGCCCGCCGCCGCUUUUUGGGAUGUGCCCCCCCCGGGCUGGGCCACGGCCCCCCCACCCCCGACAAGGAGGCGCUUGUGGGGGCCGUGGGGCCCAUGUGAUCGCCCCCGAAAAGGAAGGUUGCUUUGUUUGGGGUUUUUUUGCCCCAAAAAUGAGGCUUUUUCCCAAAAAGUGAGAAUUUUCCCCCAAAACGACGCGGCUUUCCAACGAAAAAGAGGCCUUCGCCCCAAAAAAAGAGGACUUCCCCCCCAAAAAAGUCAUUUCCCAAAAAAAAGAGACUUUCCCCCCCCAAACGAGGCUUUUUACCAAAAGAAUUAGACUUUUCCCCAAAAAAAGUUGUUUGUUUCCUCCAAAAUGGCCUUUUGCCACCAAAAUGAGGCUUUUUCCUCCAAAAUGAAGCCUUUUCCCCCAAAGCGAGGCUUUUUUAGGCUUUUUUUUUCCCCCAAAAUAGGGCUAUUUCUAUAAAUAUGAGGCUUUUUACCAAAAGAAUUACUUUUUUUUCCUUAAAGAGUCUUUUUUCCCCAAAUCUAGCAUUUUUCCCCCCAAAAUUGAUCUUCCCCUCUCCUAAUUGGGCCUCUCCCUCCCCUCCCCAAAAAAGUAGCUUUUUCACCCCAAAACGAGGCUCCCCCCCAAACGGGGCUUUUUCAACCCAAACAUGCCUCCCCCCCCUUCCCUGUCCCAAAAUGGGUUUUUCACCCCAAACUGAGGCCUUCCCCCCUCUCCCCCCCCCAAAUAGGGCUUUUUCUCCCCCAAAUGGGGUUCCCCCCCUCCAGGGCUUUAUUUUUUGAUCAUUUCCCCUGGGAGGGGGCUGUUUGCGGGGUGCUUUGGGAUUUGGGGGGGGGGCUCUGAGCACCCAAGGGUGCUCCCCCCCACCCCCCCCCCUUACCAGCUGGGGGCUUUUUUAAUGAAAAUCUUCACGGUUUCGGGAUUUUUUUUUUACACUUUUAAGGAAAAUUUUUGCAAUAAAGGGAUUUCCGAACUCCCC